UACAGAGGUCCCAAGCGUUGUUCGGAUUCACUGGGCGUAAAGGGUGCGUAGGUGGCAGGGUAAGUUUGAUGUGAAAUCUCCGAGCUCAACUCGGAAACUGCAUUGAAUACUAUCCUGCUUGAGGAUUGGAGGGGAGACUGGAAUUCUCGGUGUAGCAGUGAAAUGCGUAGAUAUCGAGAGGAACACCAGUGGCGAAGGCGAGUCUCUAGACAACUCCCGACACUGAGGCACGAAAGCUAGGGGAGCAAACAGG
rnacentral:rRNA from 1 species